rnacentral:lncRNA from 1 species
GUAGGUAAGGGUAUUGUCCAGCCAGUAGGGGGGAUUGUUUUCAUCCUGGCUGUACUAUUGUGAAUCUUCUGCCAGGCAAUUAUAUUUAUCCAUCCUUUCCAACACCUGUCUUCUAACAAUUUAAGUAAAACAACAAUAAGGUUCAAAUAUUGGUGAUUUAUAUUAAAACUUGUCUUUUUUUUUAGAUUAGUCUAUGUGUGCAUCAGAACAUGGUGAAUAAAGUUACUAAAAAGAGCUUAAGGAGUAACUGGCAAAAUUAAAUAACUGGCAAGAAACUGGAACAAUUAAAUACUGAAGAGUCACUUUUGGCAGGAAAGUGUUCAGAACAGCAGACUCUCAGAGCAAGCAGGAGGAGGCAUUAAGCUAUAGGCAAUCACAUUACUUGAAGAGAAAAGAUGUCUUCCCUUCUGUACCAACUCUUUAAUUAUACAUGUGGGAACCAGUUUCAUCCUUCUACUCUGAGCUGCAUGAAAUCCAGGGCUUGGGUUCACCUCAUCUGAUCAAGGAGCAUGAGAUGCAGAGGAAAAGAAGAAGUAAUGCAGUUAAUUAUAUAGACAUUUUUAAAGAUCAAAUUGAUGCAGGUGUCUGGCCAGGUGUAUUGGAUUUUCACCCCAGUAGUAAGAAGAUGUGCUAUUUCUGUGGCUGACAUACUAAACCUCUACGCCCUUUUGAAAUGAAUGAGAUGCUUUAGGACUGGUUCAAAUUAAGCGGAAGCAGUGCUGUUGCCAACUGGUCCUGCUUUUUUUCACCCUUUUGAUGUGCACACCUCCUUAUUAGCCUGUGUUGGAUCCGGUGACAGUGGAGUUGUAUGCUGAGUGGGAGCCGCAUUUUCACUGAAAACAUAUCUGUACAAAAUAUAAAUUUUUUUAUUUGGAUCAUCCUACUGGGAAGGGUGGGGAGGAGAUAAGAAGAAAAAUAAAUGGUUGGACUGCUCCUUCUGACAGCAGCUGUGUAUCUGGUUCAUUUAACUCCAAAAUUGUGUGAAGAGAAGAAGGAAAAAAAUAUAUUUUUGGUCAAUAUUUUGAAUAAGUAUGCAGUUACCAAUGUGUCUUUUAUUACAGUAUGCGGAACUUAAAGGAAAGAAAAAAUACUUUUAUCCCAGAGCAAAUAUUUGUAACAGCAUAUAGUGCUGCAAAAAACCAUGUAAAUAACUUGAUCUAAUUAUGAUCACACUCAGGGUAAGAAGCCUAAGAGAUGAACCAAGAUGGUGAAAAAUGAG